UACGGGGGGGGGCAAGCGUUGUUCGGAAUUACUGGGCGUAAAGAGCGCGCAGGCGGUCGUUCAAGUCGCGUGUGAAAGCCCCCCGGCUCAACUGGGGAGGGUCACGCGAUACUGAUCGACUCGAAGGCAGGAGAGGGUAGUGGAAUUCCCGGUGUAGUGGUGAAAUGCGUAGAUAUCGGGAGGAACACCAGUGGUGAAGGCGACUACCUGGCCUGUUUCUUGACGCUGAGGCGCGAAAGCUAGGGGGAGCAAACGGG
rnacentral:rRNA from 1 species